UCCCGUUGAUCCUGCGGGAGGUUGCUGCUAUUAGGGUUCGAUUUAGCCAUGCAAGUCUUCUCGUAAGAGAGGCAAACUGCUCAGUAACACGUCAAUAAUCUACCCUUAGAUUUAGAAUAACCUUGGGAAACUGAGGCUAAUGAUUAAUAGGGGGAAAAAACUGGAAUGUUUUUCCUCUGAAACGUAAGGUCUAAGGAUGAGUUGGCGGUCGAUUAGGUUGUUGGUGGUGUAAAGGACCACCAAGCCAAAGAUCGGUAGGAGUCUUGAGAGAGAUAGCUCCGAGAAGGGCACUGAGAUACAGGCCCUAGCCCCACGGGGUGCAGCAGGCGCGAAACCUUUACAAUGCACGUAAGUGUGAUAAGGGAACCCUAAGUGCUUUGCUUAUGUAAGGCUUUUACUAAGUUUAAAAUAUUUGGUGAAUAAGUGGUGGGAAAGACUGGUGCCAGCCGCCGCGGUAACACCAGCGCCACGAGUGGGAACCGUUUUUAUUGGGUCUAAAGCGUCCGUAGCCGGUUUGAUAAGUCUCUUGUGAAAUCAUUAAGCUCAACUUAAUGGCGUGCUUGAGAUACUGUUGGACUAGGAACUUGGAAGAGUCAGAAGUAUUUCUGGGGGAGCGGUAAAAUGCUAUAAUCCCAGAAGGACUACCUGUGGCGAAAGCGUCUGACUAGAAUAGAUUCGACGGUGAGGGACGAAAGCUAAGGGAACAAUCCGGAUUAGAUACCCGAGUAGUCUUAGCCAUAAACUCUGCGAGCUAGGCGUUGCAUAUUCUUCGUGAAUAUGCAGUGUCGUAAUGAAGAUGUUAAGCUCGCCACCUGGGAAGUAUGGUCGCAAGACUGAAACUUAAAGGAAUUGGCGGGGGAGCACUACAAGGGGUGCGGCGUGCGGUUUAAUCUAACUCAACGCAGAAAAUCUCACCAGAGGCGACGGCAGAAUGAAGGUCAGUCUAAGGGCUUACCUAACGAGCCGAGAGGUAGUGCAUGGCCGUCGUCAGCUCGUGCCGUAAGGUGUCCUGUUAAGUCAGGCAACGAGCGAGACCUGUAUCUACAAUUGCUAACGAACAGUUAUGUGAUCGAGCACAUUGUAGGGACUGCUCUCGAAAGAGAGAGGAAGGUGCAGGCUACGAUAGGUCUGUAUGCUCCGAAUCCUCUGGGCUACACGCGCGCAACAAUGGCAGUGACAAUGGGAUGCAACUCUGAAAAGAGAAGCUAAUCUUCUAAACACUGUCUUAGUUCAGAUUGUGGGCUGUAACUCGCCCACAUGACGCUGGAAUCCCUAGUAAUCGGAAUUCAAAAAUAUUCCGGUGAAUGUGUCCCUGCUCCUUGCACACACCGCCCGUCAAACCACCCGAGUAGGGUUUAGAUGAGGCCUUAUUUUUAAUAAGUUCGAAUCUAAGCUUUGCGAGGAGGGUUAAGUCGUCACAAGGUA
rnacentral:rRNA from 1 species